rnacentral:lncRNA from 1 species
CAUCACCAGCUCAUGAUUAAUGCACCAGCCAACUUUACGGAAAGCUCAACCAACAUUCGGACCUCCGCGUAAAACCUCACUAAACCAGAUCUCACAAUAAAUCUGAGCAACCAUGAAGACAACAUUGAGUUCCGUCAAUCAGGUUCCGGUUAGUCUAAAUUAUUUUAUUAUCAUAUAUUGAUACUUGGGGGUCAGUUUUAUUAUUUACUAUUAGUCACUUUUUUCUCUCUUUAUUACUUAUUGCUAUUAAUUUGUUUGUUGUUUAUGAUUUUGGUAAGUUUGUUUAGUUUUUUAAUCUAUUGUGUUAAGUAGUGUGUUUAUGUUGAUCAUAUUCUCCCUUGUCUCUUUGAUUUAUUUAGCUAUUUCUGUUGUUUUAUUUCUUUCCGUUCAUAUAUGGCCUUAGUAAUCUUUCUAUUUGUUAUUAUUUUAUUAGUUUUAUUAUUUGUGAUGAUAAAUAGAAAAUUUGAUAGCUUAGAUAUUUUAUUGUUGCCACUUUGAUUUUGUUAUUGUUACUUUAUUUAUUUAUAUAAGUUUAUUAUUGUUGUUGCUUCGUUUCUGUCCAUUUGUUAAUUUUGUUAUUGGUAUUAUGUUAAAACCAACCACUUGGUUAUCAUAUUUAGUUAUGAAUUUCACGUUGCUUUGUCUCUUUUCAUUAAUUUUCUUAAUGAGCUUUUUUAAUGUAUAUUUUUCAUACAGGUUGUCUUUUGAUUGUUUUUAUGGUUCACAUAAUCUUUUGAAUAUAAAUUUAAUAUGCUCGUUUAUUAUUAUUAGUCGUGUUAUUAUUUAUAUAUAUAAUUAAACACUCAAGUAUAAGCUUAAGUAAAAAUAAAGCAAAAAUUAUGAAACCACAGAUAGAAUUUCUAGGAAUACAAAUAGAUAGAAAUGGAAUAAAAAUGUAAAACCACAUAGUACAAAAAAUAAUCAACCUUGAUGAGAAUAUAGAUACAAGAACGGGUAUAUUCGUUUAUGAUCAUGAGUAGCUAAAUCUAUUUCUUCCUGAUAAUCUCUUGUUGAUUAUAAUUGUUUAUCAUGUCUUAAUAAUGUUAUAAUAACCAUCUUUAGAAAGUUUGCUACAGAAAUAUUCUGUGAAUAAGUAUGCCCACACUAUGCCAGCCUAAGGUUGAAACCGAUAGGCAAAGAAGGCCGUGAGGGGAGUUAAUAGAGUUGAGGCGCUGUUAGGGUAACUGAUCAAAGAAGAAAACUGUAGCAGUGACUAGACGAGAUGCUUAUUAAACCAUUAUUAUUACAUAAUAAAUAAGUAUAAUCCAUUAAUAGGUUGGAAGGAAUAAAAUUAUUUUUAGUGAAAGUGGAAAUAAUUAAAAUGAAUACUUAUCUACUGGAUGAUGAUGUUAAUUACAAGAUAUUAAUACUCUAUAUCUUAAAGGAUCUUAAUACAGAUAUAAAAAGAGCAAUUUAUGAUAUAUUAGUAACAUAUGAGAUAAUAGAAAUAACAACUCAAGGGGCUGAAUUAGAUAUACAAGAUAAUUUUUAUGAUGAAUUUUAUUAUGACAUAAAUGAUUUAUAUGAUGAUAUAGAUAUAUUCAGAGAUCAAUGAUAAAAUAUAUGUAUUUACAGUAUUGGGUAAAAGCUAAAGAAAAUAUAAAACAAUAUGAUAAAAUAGAAUAUAAUGAUUAAACCAAAAAGGUUUGAAAUUUCGCAAAAACAAAGUAAUAAUAUUUAUAAGAUAAAAUUUAUUAAAGACCCAAAAAAAUUAAGUAAACUUUUUAAAAUUUUGUACAGAAAAAUAUAAAUGAAUAAUACAAGAAGCAAAGAAACUAAAAUAACAAAAACCAAGAUAGAUAAAAAAAGUACGAAAGAUAUGGAAAAAAUUAAAACCCUUAUACAUAGAAUAUGAACUAUUAGAACUUACUAAAACAAGUAACAAUAAGACAAAUUAUUUGAUAAAUAUAAUUUCAAAAACAGAAUACAAAUAUGUUUGUUAUUUGAAAAAACAGUAUGAAUAAAGAAAUAUAUAGGCAACAAUUGAUAAGAAAAAAAGAUGAAAAAAGACAAGAACUACAACAUAGGAAAGAAAGAAUAAUAGAAAACAUGUUAGCAGGAGUAUGUAAUAAAUAAAUAUUAGCACAAAGAAAAGUUAUAUUUAUGUUAGAAAUACAAAUAGAUCACCUUGAAUAUAAAUUACAACAAACAUAAUUUAUAAAUUAUAAUGAAUAAAGAAGAGUUUGCAGUAGAUGAAAAGACAUAUGAAAAUCAAGAUGGAUUAAUGAGAAAAAUAAUAUUUUCAAACCUAGGAAGACGAUAUAAAAAAAUAGGAAAUAAUUUAUAUUUAAUGUUAGAAAAAGAAACAUCAAAAUUAGAAGAUGGUCUAACAGCUAUGAUAAGAAUAACAAAAGAAAAUGAAAAAAUAGACAAAUCAAAAGAAAUUGAAAAAGUAAAAAAUACAAGCAAAACAAGAAGUACAACAUUUAGAAGAAAUAAAAAAUACAAGAAUAAGUGAAUUAGAAAAAAAACUAGCUAGGUUAUAAUUAUUACAUGAUACUAAACAAAAAGAGAAACAGAUAGAAAAGGGAAAAGAAUUAGAAUUAACUAAUGAAAUAAAAGAGAUGGAACAAAAACUAAAUGAAGACCUUGAAAUAAAUUAAAUAGAUGAAUCAGAUACAAUAAAUGACCAAAAAUCAGAAAUAAGUGAUCUAAGUGAAACUUACACAGAAAUUCUAGAACAGGUAAAUAAACCUAAAAAAUUAGAAAUAAACACAGGAAAUAUGAAUCGACCUAGUACGUCUAGAGUUAAAACUCCAGACAAUAGUCCCAGAAAUAGUCCUAAAAUUAGUCCUAGAUGGACACCACCAACUUAUUAUGCAGAAAGUUAUCAACAAUCAGAUAGAACUAACGCAAUAUGGAAUAGUAGAUUAAAUAAAAAUUAGACACCAAACCAAUAAAUGAACAAUAUAGUUUUUUAGAUCUAGAUUAUGUUACAGAUAUAAAUAAAGCAAUAUUACUAUGGAUAGGAAAUAGAUCUAAGCAAUUAAUAGAUAAAAAAAUAAAAACAACAGAAACACCAAGGUAUAUCGAAAGAACAUUUGUAGGAAUAACACGAUUAUGGAUAGAAAAUUUACCCUUAGAAAGUUUAGAAGUACUUAGAAGUGACAAGAAAAUGGAUGGAUCUCCAUCAGCAACAAAUAUAGAUAUACUAGAUAAAUAUGAAUCAACAAUAAGAAAUGAAUUUGGAGGUAUGACCACAGAUAUAAGAGAACAGAACAGAGAAAAAAUAAUAAAUAGGCAACUUAUGACAAAAUUAGCUAUAUGUAAAAUGUGUUAUAUAGAAGAAUACACUUGUGCAUUUAAGGAAUACUAUUACAAAGCAAAAUACAAUUUAAAUGAAUCAAAAGAAAUAAGACAACAAUAUUUUACAAAAUUACCAGAACCAUUUAGCACAAAAAUUAUUAAAGAUUGGAAUGAUGUUGGAUUAGUAGAUACAUUAGGAGCUAGAAUAAAAUUAUUACAUCAAUGAUUCAUACAACUAUGUGAAAACCAAAAAGAAAAAUUAAAAAUGGAAAAAGUACUAAACAAAAACUUAGCCUGUUGUAAAAAUAAUAUAGCACCACAGUUUGGAUGUACAAAUAAAAAGCAAAAGCCUAAAAGGUAUAAAAAUUAUAGAAACACUAAAACCAAGUAUAAAUAUAAGAAACCAAGACGAAGAUAUUAUAUAAAAAAAUAAUAAAAUAAAAAGACCAUAUAGACCAAAAAGAAAAAUAUUCCAAUGUACUUGUUAUAAUUGCGGAAAGAUAGGACAUUUAGCUAGAGAUUGUAAACUACCCAAAGAUCCGAAAAUGAAGCAAAUUGCAGAAGUAAUUAUAGAUAAUCAUAAAUAUAUGCAAAUAGAAUACAUAGACUAUGAAUUAAGUGAAGACGAUAGUAUAUAUGAAGUAUCAGAUAUAGAAACUGAAAAUGAAGAAGAAAAUAUUAAUCUAGAUAAUAAUGAAACAGAUGAAGAAAUAUAAUGUCUGAAGAUGAGAUAAAAAUAAUAUCUAAAGAAGAUUAUCAAAAUGAAGAAUUAUCAGACUAAAAAAUUAUAUUUGAUAAUACAAUUUUUGAACAAAUAAAAGGAAAAGAAUUAGACUUAAGUGUUGAAAAAGUACUUGAAAUACCUACUCUAUGAAAUUGGUUUAAAAGACAAAAAGAAGAAUAUUAUGUAGUUAGUCAAAAAGAACAUAUUAUAGAUUGUAAAUAUGCAAGAGGAAAAACAUAUAUACCUAUACUAAGUAAACGAAUAAUAAAUAAAGAAAUACAAGAUAUAAAAGCUAAAACACCAAUAAAAUAUGUACAUUUAGGAGGAACAGAAAUAUUAAUAAAAGCUUGUUUUAGAGAAGGAAUAGAUACACCUAUUGAAAUAUACUUAGCAGAUGAUAGAAUUAUACACCCUAUAGAAAAAAGUGUAAUUAGUGCAGUAAAAGGAAACUUAAUAUAUCAAAAAUUUAAAUUUAUAAUAAGUGUCAAUUAUACAGUAGCAUUAACAAAUAGAAAUAUAGAUAAAUCAUUAGUAUUAUAUUAAAAAAUGUCUGGAAUAGAGUUACCACUAGGGAGUAAAAUAUUUACAGCAAGAUGUAAAAACUUAUAUAUAUUAACAGCAAAACAUAAAAUAAUAGCUUAAAAUAAAAUUGAUAAAAUAAAGAUAGAAAAUCCUUUCGAAUAAAUAAUUAUUGUAAUAGACAAUAAUAACUAUAGCCAUAGAGAAAUUGACAUAGAAGAAGAUUUAGAAAUUAUAAAAGAAAGAUUAAGUACUUCAAGUCUACCAAAUACGUUAACAAGAGCUACCUCAUUAAGAAUGAGUACAUCUAAAAGAAACUAUGAAAUCCCACAAAACAUAUUAGAUAAGGAAGAAAUAACACCAUAUCAUUAUUUCGUAACAGGAAUAAUAGACCAAAGAAAAUAUAAAAUUUUGAUAAAUACAGGACAAGAAGAAAAUUACAUAACAAGAGAGUUAGUAUUAGAAGAAGAAAUUAUAAAAACAGGACACAUAUACCCUCGAUUACCUAGCGAGAUAGUAAACAUAAAUGAAGAAACAACGGAAAAAGAAAUAAUUAUAGGAGGAAUACCCUUAAUAAUACCAUUUAAAAUAUACCAAGGAAAUCAUAAUAUUACAUUAGGUAUAAAAUGGCUAGAAAAAGUUAAACCGUACAAUAUAGAAAAUGAACAAUUAACAAUAACUUGUCAAAAUAAGAAAAUAAUUAUAAAAAGAACAAAAUGAAUAAUGAAAAUAUUUAUACUUGCAAAAAUUAUUGUAUAAGGAUAUCACAACAGAUAUUAUACCCCUAUAAUAGAUACAGGAGCAAAAGCGAAUAUAUGUAAUUAUAAUUGUCUACCAGAAGAUAAAUGGGAAAAAUUGAAAACGCCUAUGGUAGUAACACGAUUUAAUAAUGAAGGAAGUAUGAUUAAAUACAAAGCAAAAAAUAUAAAAAUACAAAUAUGGGAUAAAAUAUUAACAAUAGAAGAAAUGUACAAUUUUGAAUUUACGACAAAAGACAUGUUAUUAGGAAUGCCAUUUUUAGAUAAAUUUUACCCAAAUGUAAUAACAAAAACACAUUGGUGGUUUACUACACCAUGCGGAAACAAAAUAGGAGUAAAAAGAGUAAAUAAUAAACAACGAAAACCUAUAGAAUGGAUAAAAGGAAGUGAAAAAAUAAAUCAAGAAAUGGAAAAUAUAAAUAAGAAACAAAUAUCAUAAUUAGAAAUUGUUAUAUUUACAAUCGAUAAAGUUAAAAUAAUUAAUGAACAACUAGAACAACUAUACAAUAAAGAUCCAUAACAAGGAUGGGAAAAACAUAAGACAAAAGUAAAAAUUGAACUAAUAGAUGAAAAUAAUAUAAUAACACAGAAACCAUUAAAAUAUAACUUUGAUGAUUUAAAGGAAUUCAAAAUUCAUAUAGAUGAACUAUUAGAAAAUAAUUAUAUACAAGAAAGCAAUAGCAAACAUACAAGUCCAACAUUUAUAAUUAUAGAACAUAAUGAACAAAAAAGAGGUAAAAGUAGAAUUGUCAUAGAUUAUCGUAACCUAAAUGCUAAAACUAAAACAUACAAUUACCCAAUACCAAACAAAAUACUAAAAAUAAAACAAAUACAAGGAUAUAACUAUUUUAGUAAAUUUGACUGUAAUUCAGGAUCUUAUGACCUAAAACUAGAAGAAGAAUCUAAAAAGCUAACACUCAAUCACAGUACCGCAAGGUUUCUAUGAAUGGAAUGUAUUACCAUUUGGAUAUAAGAAUGCAGCAGGUAGAUAUCAACACUUUAUGGAUAACUAUUUUAACUAGUUAGAAAAUUGUAUUGUAUAUAUAGAUGAUAUAUUACUAUAUUCUAAAAUACAAGAUGAACAUAUAAGGUUGUUAGAAAAAUUAUAUAUAUAAUUAAACACUCAGGUAUAAGCUUAAGUAAAAAGAAAGUAGAAAUUAUGAAACCACAAAUUGAAUUUCUAGGAAUACAAAUAGAUAGAAAUGAAAUAAAAAUGCAAAACCACAUAGUACAAAAAAUAAUCAACCUUGAUGAGAAUAUAGAUACAAAAAAGAAAUUACAAUCCUUUCUAGGAUUAGUAAAUCACGUAAGACAAUAUAUACCAAAAUUAGCAGAACAUUUAAAACCAUUACAUAAAAAACAUAAAAAAGAUGUAGAAUACUAUUUCGACAAUAAAGAUAAAGAACAUAUAAGAAAUAUUAAGAAUUUAUAUAAAAAAUUACCAAAACUUUAUUUUCCUAAUGAAAAUAAAAUAUUUACUUAUAUUGUUGAAACAGAUUCAAGUGAUCUUAGUUAUGGAGGAGUUUUAAAAUACAAAUAUGAAAAAGAAAAAAUAGAACACCAUUGUAGAUAUUAUUUAGGAUCUUAUACAGAAGCACAAAUAAAAUAGAAAAUAAAUAGAAAAGAAUUAUUUGCAUUAAAUAAAUAUUUAUUUGCAUUUGAACCAUAUAUUGUUUACAAUAAAUUUAUUGUAAGAACAGAUAAUACACAGGUAAAAUGGUGGAUAACAAAAAAGUUAGAAGAUUCAGUUACAACAAAAGAAAUAAGAAGAUUAGUAUUAAAUAUAUUAAAUUUUACAUUUACAAUUGAAGUAAUUAAGACUGACAAGAAUCUUGCUCCAAACUAUCUAUCAAGAAAAAGGAACCCAAACUGAACCAGAAAAAGAUACGUUGGAAGAAAUACUCAAAGCCAUUACUACACUUUCUACGAAAGUAGACAGUAUGGAUAAAUGUCAUUAACGAAAUCAAUUAAAAACUUCUAAAAUUUAUCAAUUAAUAUCCCCAAAAUCUGGAAGUCAUCAUCACAAGAACAUCUAUCUCAAAUUUCUAACCUACGAGUAUCUAAGAAGCUAGAAUAAGUAAAAAGCUAGUCCAUGCCGGAAGUUCAAGGCAUCAAGACAUGAAGAGGAAGAUCCAGUCCAAGCUAGAAGCAUUAGCUCACCCUGAAAUCCGGUGUAAUGAAGACUGGCUAGAGUUGCGGUUGAGUUGAAGACGACGGCACGUUUGCUGCACUCCACAAAUAAUCAAAAAGAAAACAUACGAGUAGGGGUCAGUACAAAACACAGAUACUGAGUAGAUAUCAUCGGCCAACUCAAAAUAGAAAACAGUAUAUAUCAGAUAAUAUCAUAAAAUCAACUACAAUACUCAACAUGCGGCAUUUACAGUUACCAUAACCCUUGGUCACAACACCAAGCUCAUCAAUGAGAACUCACGCCUCCCUAUCAUACUCAUUUGGGAAUUAGGUUCAUUAAAUUUAGUAUAUUAACAUAUUUCAAGAUUCAUUCUCUUUGCUAAUCCUAUUGCCGGAACGUGGCACUCCGAUUCUCAUAUACAAUCCUGGUACCGGAACGUGGCACCCGAUCCAUAUACUAUCCUGGUGUCGGAACGUGACACUCUGAUCCUCAUAUACUAUCCUGGUAUCGGAACGUGGCACCCGAUCCAUAUAAUAUCCUGGUGUCGGAACGUGACACUCCGAUCCUCAUAUACUAUCCUGGUAGCGGAACGUGACACCCGAUCCAUAUACUAUCCUGGUGUCGGAACGUGACACUCCGAUCCUCAUAUACUAUCCUGGUACCAGAACGUGGCACCCGAUCCCCUAAUCUCACUGCUUUCGUUCAUCAAGCCUUCUUUUAUACCAAGGCAUCAUCAUUAACAAAGUAGAUUAGGGUUUCUUUUUCAAGAUUUAGGAUUCAAUAGCUUCAUCAUGCUUAUUUUAUCACAAUUAUAUAAUCACAACAUGCAAACACAUAAUUAAGCAUAUAGAAGGGUUUACAACACUACCCAAUACAUAUCAUUCGCUAUUAAGAGUUCACUACGAAUAGUGUAAAAAAACCAUAACCUACCUCCACCGAAGAUUCGUAAUCAAGCAAGCAAUUUCCCCAAAGCUUUGUUAUCCUCUUCAUUCCUCUCUCUCUUGAUCGAUUCUCCCUCUCUUGUUCUUUCUAUUUUUCUUAUUCAAACCCUCUUUAUGUUACCCUAAUUAACAUAUAAUUAAGUAUAAAAGAUGACAAAAUAACCCACUAAUUAAUUUAAGGUUAUCUCCUUUAACCCUCAAGAAAUUGGAUUAUUAAUAUUCAACCACCAACUUUAUAAUUAUAAGCAGGAAUAGUCCAAAACGUCCCUUAAAACAUUUAAAGAAAUCCGACCCAGCCUGGGAUUACGCCGCCUGUGACGGGCCGUCGUGCCUGCGACGGUCCGUCCUGCUGAGUCGUCACAGAGUUCUGAGACUGAAAUUUACUGAAGGAUCUGUGACGGCCCAUCACGCCUGUGACGGUCCGUCCUGCCAUUCCGUCACGAUGUUCAGAGAGUCAAUUUCAGUACCCAAAUUUCAGAAAUCUAAGUGUUUUGGAACGAGACCCCCUCGACGGUCCGUCGUGCUCACUACGGUCCUUCGUGUGAUCCGUCGUCUCAGCCAGUUUUUCCAGAAAUAAAAUCUGCUGCUCAAAACGACUAAAGAGGUCGUUACAAUAAAGAGUUACAAAAGAUGAAAAAUAUAAGUCAGCAGCAUGACUAUAAACAUGCGGAGCUACGUCGUUCGGCAGACGGAAAACAGCCAGAGCUAAAAGGAGACUAUGGGAAAGUCCAUAAAACCCAUAACAAUGUUUGUUUAAAUGCCGCUACAGCCAGCACAUCUACAACAGGACAACCAUCAAAAAAGGAGGAAACUAAAGUGAAAUACACAAAUAUAAAUAUGAAUAAAUUAUUUUUAAAACCAUACACUCCUUAGAAUACCCAAAAAGAUACAUUCGUCCCUCCUCAAAUAAAUACCUACAAAGCCAUUCUAGAUUGAGAAAAACAAACAUAUAACCACAUUACCAGAAUGUAUAUAGAAAAUAUAUACAAGAUACAAACCUUUUUAAACCUAAACCCAAGAGCAAAAGAUACCAAGAAUCCAAACGAAAAUUAUAUCACACAAUACCUACAAGGAUACAACAAACUAAUAGCACAACUUGAAACAAAUCCAAAUCUAGUAGCAACUUGCUACAACUACGUACUAAUAAGCACGGUAUAUACUAUAACUGGAGAUGAAGUAGCUAAAAUACCUAAGCUAGAUAAGGCAUUUCUACAAUAUAAAAGAAUAACUAAAGGAACGUUAUUUUAUAUAAAGUUCUACUCAGCAAUGGCAGAAAUAUUAUAUAAAGAACCUACAAUACAAGUUAUGAAGAUAGGUUUAACUAUAGAUAUGAUAAUACCGGAAAUAAUAGAUAUACAAGAAGAAAUACAGAAGGUGGAUAUCCCAGAUUUUUAUGCAAAUAAAAGAACUAUUGGGAUAGCUACCAUAUUAAAUGAGUUAUCAAUCAACUACCUAAAUGAAAAUGCAAUCUGGAGUUAUUACAACAGAGAUCAAACAAUGAUAUACUCCAAUUGUAAAGAGAUGAGGACAGGAAAUAUGGAAGAAGUACGACAAUGGAUAUUAAGUUUACUGAAGCUAGAACAAACACCUACAACAAGAGCUAUCAGAAGAAAUUUUAUUUCUCCAUGUAUGAUGACCAAAUACUGUAAACUAAUAGGAGAAAAGUAUCCAGAAUUUAGAGAGAAAAGUACAAAAUGUAAUGGAGAAGAUAACAAUCUUUAACAAGUACAUUGGGAUAUCUUUCUUUUCGGUCUGUAUGGUCUUUUUAUUUUAUAGUUUUUUACAUAAUACCUUCGUCUUGGUUGUUUAUAUUUAUAUAUAGAUUUCUUUUUUCUAUAAUUUUUAUAUCUUUUAGAUUUUUGUUUUUAGUUGUGCAUCCAAAUUGUGGUGCUAUUUUAUUUUUGCAACAUGAUAAAUUUUUAUUUAGUACUUUUUCCAUUUUUAAUUUUUCUUUUUGGUUUUCACAUAGCUGUAUGAACCAUUGAUUUAAAAAUUUUAUUCUAGAUCCUAAAGUAUCUAUCAUUCCUUCAUUAUUCCAAUCCUUUAUUACGUUUGUACUAAAUGAUUCUGGUAAUUUUGUAUAAUAUUGUUUUCUUAUUUCUUUUGCUUCGUCUAAAUUGUAUUUAGCUUUGUAAUAAUAUUCUUUAAAUGCGCAAGUAUAUUCUUCUAAGUAACACAUUUUACAUAUAGCUAAUUUUGUCAUAAGUUGUCUAUUUAUUAUUUUUUCUCUAUUUUGUUCUCUUAUAUCUGUAGUCAUGCCUCCAAAUUCAUUUCUUAUUGCUGAUUCAUAUUUAUCAAGUAUAUCUAUAUUUGUUGCUGAUGCAGAUCCAUCCAUUUUCUUAUCAUUCCUAAGCACUUCUAAACUUUCCGAGGGUAGAUUUUCUAUCCAUAAUUUUGUUGUUCCUACAAAUGUUCUUUCUAUGUAUCUUGGUGUUUUUGCUGUUUCUAUUUUAUUGUCUAUUAACUGUUUAGACAUAUUUCCUAUCCAUAUUAAUAUUGCUUUAUUUAUAUCUGCGACACAAUCUAAAUCUAAAAAAUUGUAUUGUUCAUUUGCUGGUUUAGGUGUCCAAUUUUUAUUUAAUCUACUGUUCCAUAUUGCAUUAUUUCUAUCUGAUUGUUGAUAGCUCUCUGUAUAAUAAGUUGGUGGUGUUCUCCUAGGACUAACUCUAGGACUAUUUCUGGGACUAUUAUCUGGGGUUUUAACUCUUGACGUACUAGGUCUAUUCAUAUCUCCUGUGUUUAUCUCUAAUUUUUUCGAUUUAUUUAUCUGUUCUAGAAUUUCUGUAUAUGUUUCACUUAUAUCACUUAUUUCUGAUUGUUGGUCAUUUUCAUUUCCAUCUAUUUCAUUUACUUCAAUAUCUUUAUUUAGAUCUUCAUUUAGUUUUUGUUCCAUUUGUUUUAUUUCAUUUGUUAAUUCUAGCUCUUUAUCUUUUUCUUUUUGUUUAUUUUCAUAUAAUAAUUUUAACCUAGCUAAUUCUUUUUCUAAUUCACUUAUUCUUGUAUUUUUUAUUUCUUCUAAAUUUUGUACUUCUUGUUUUGCUUGUGUUUUUAUUUUUUCGAUUUCUCUUGAUUUAUCUAUUUCUUCAUUUUCUUUUGUUAUUCUUACCAUAACUGUUAAACUAUCUUCUAAUUUUGCUGUUUCUUUUUCUAGCAUUAAAUAUAAGUUAUUUCCUAUUUUCUUGUAUCUUCUUCCUAAAUUUGAAAAUACUAUUUUUAUUAUCAUUCCGUCUUGGUUUUCAUAUGUUUUUUCGUCUACUGCAAAUUCUUCUUUGUUCAUUAUGAUUUAUGUAUUAUAUUAUGUUGUAAUUCAUAUUCAAGACAAUCUAAUUCUAAUUCUAACGUUAAUAUAUCUUUUCUUUGUGCUAGUAUUGAUUUAUUACAUACUCCUGCUAAUAUGUUUUCUUCUAGUCUUCUUUUUCUAUGUUGUAAUUCUUGUUCUUUUUCAACCAUUAUUUCCAUUAUUUCUUCUAUUAAUUGUUGUUUAUAGAUUUCUCUGUUCAUACUGUUUUUUCAAAUAGCAGACAUAUUUAUAUUCUAUUUUUGAAAUUAUGUUUAUCAAUUGAUUUUUUCUAUCAUUAUCUGUUUUGACUAGUUGUGAUAGUUCAUAUUCUAUAUAUAAAAAUCUCAAUUUUUUCCAUAUUUUUCUUAUCUUUUUAUCUAUCUUAGUUCUUUUUAUUUUAGUAUUUUUAUUUUUAUUUAUCAUAACUUUUUAUAUAAUAUUUUAAAAAGCCUACUUAAUUUAUCUGGAUAUCUAAUCUUUUUUAACCUGUAAUUCCUACCAUAUCGCUUUAGCCAAUAUUCAGUCAUAUUUAAUCUCCAAUAUCUAAAUCUAAAAAGCCUACUUAAUUUAUCUGGAUAUCUAAUCUUUUUUAACCUGUAAUUCCUACCAUAUCGCUUUAGCCAAUAUUCAGUCAUAUUUAAUCUCCAAUAUCUAAAUCAUCAUAUAAAUCAUACAUAUCAUAAUAAAGCUCAUUUUGUAUACUUUGUAUGGUUAACUCAGUCCAACCUUGGGUUGUUAUUUCUAUUAUCUCAUAUGUUAAUAAUUUAUUAUAAAUUUCUCUUUUUAUAUCAAUAUUCAAAUUUUUUAGUAUAUAGAAUAAUAAUAUCUUAUAAUCAACAUCAUCGUUUAAUAGGUAGGUUUCCAUUUUUAUUAUUUUCAUUUUUCACUAAAAUUUUAUUCCUUUCAACCUCUUAAUAAAUUAUACUUGCUUAUUAUGCAAAAAUAAUGAUUUAAUAAUCAUCUAGUCUGGUCACUACUACAGCUUUCUUCUUUGAUUAGUUACCCUAACAGCGCCUCAACUUUGUUUACUCCCCUAAACGGCCUUAUCUGCCUACCGGUUUCAACCUUAGGAUGGCAUAGUCUGGGCAUACUUGUUCGAAGAAUAUUUCUGUAGCAAACUUUCUAAAGAUGGUUAUUAUAACAUUAUUCAAACAUGAUAAACAAUUAUAAUUAACAAGAGAUUUUCAGGAAUAAAUUAAUUUAGCUACUCAUAAAUAUAAAAUGGUAUACCUGUUCUUGUAGAUCAUCUGUCAUAGUUGAUUUGUUUUCCAUAGUUAUUUAAUUAACUAGCUCUGAUACCAAUGGAGGGGAUGGAAGCGUAAAGAGAGAGUAUUCAGAAAGAUGAGAGAUGUAAGGAUGAAGGUGUGUUUUAUUUAUGAGGAAAGCUCCUCUAUUUAUACACAAAAUUUACAAACUUUUGGCCAAAAGUGGCCGACACAUACUUUACACAUGGCCUCUCUUUAUUCGGCCGACACAAGAAAACAAAAUACUUACUAUUACUACUUUAUAUAAUUGGCCGACAAACUUUUUACAUGAUUGGCCGACAAAAGGUUUGUAUCUUGUAUAUAUUUUCUAUAUACAUUCUGGUAAUGUGGUUAUAUGUUUGUUUUUCUGAAUCUAGACUGGCUUUGUAGGUAUUUAUUUGUGGAGGGACGAAUGUAUCUUUUUGGGUAUUCUGAGGAAUAUAUGGUUUUAAAAAUAAUUUAUUUAUGUUUAUAUUUGUGUAUUUCACUUUAGUUUCAUCCUUUUUUGAAGGUUGUCCUGCUGUAGAUGUGCUGGCUGUAGCUGCAUUUAAACAAACAUUUUUAUGGGUUUUAUUGAUUUUCCCAUUGUCUCCUUUUAGCUCUGGCUGUUUUCUGUCUGCCGAACGACGUAGCUCCGCAUGUUUAUAGUCAUGCUGCUAACUUAUAUUUUUUUAUCUUUUGUAACUCUUUGUCUAUACUAUCCACUUUCGUAGAAAGUAUAGUAAUGACUUUGAGUAUUUCUUCCAUCGUAUGUUUUUCUGGUUCAGUUGGGGUUCCUUUUUCUUCAUAGAUAGUCUGCAACAAGAUUUUUGUCAGUCUUAAUUACUUCAAUUGUAAAUAUAUAAUUUAAUAUAUGUAAUAUUUAUCUCCUUAUUUCUUUUGUUGUAACUGAAUCUUCUAACUUUUUUGUUAUCCACCAUUUUACCUGUGUAUUAUUUGUUCUUACAAUAAAUUUAUUGUAAACAAUAUAUGGUACAAAUGCAAAUAAACAUUUAUAUAAUGCGAAUAAUUCAU